CAGUAGCCACGGUAAUACAGAGGGUGCAAGCGUUAAUCGGAAUUACUGGGCGUAAAGCGCGCGUAGGUGGUUUGUUAAGUUGGACGUGAAAGCCCCGGGCUCAACCUGGGAACUGCAUCCAAAACUGGCAAGCUAGAGUACGGUAGAGGGUGGUGGAAUUUCCUGUGUAGCGGUGAAAUGCGUAGAUAUAGGAAGGAACACCAGUGGCGAAGGCGACCACCUGGACUGAUACUGACACUGAGGUGCGAAAGCGUGGGGAGCAAACAGGAUUAGAGACCCCUGUAGUCCCUGUCUCUUAUAC
rnacentral:rRNA from 1 species